rnacentral:rRNA from 1 species
ACUAAGCGUACACGGUGGAUGCCCUGGCAGUCAGAGGCGAUGAAGGACGUGCUAAUCUGCGAAAAGCGUCGGUAAGGUGAUAUGAACCGUUAUAACCGGCGAUGUCCGAAUGGGGAAACCCAGUGUGAUUCGUCACACUAUCGUUAACUGAAUACAUAGGUUAACGAGGCGAACCGGGGGAACUGAAACAUCUAAGUACCCCGAGGAAAAGAAAUCAACCGAGAUUCCCCCAGUAGCGGCGAGCGAACGGGGAGCAGCCCAGAGUCUGAAUCAGCUUGUGUGUUAGUGGAACGGUCUGGAAAGUCCGACGGUACAGGGUGAUAGUCCCGUACACCAAAAUGCACAGGUUGUGAACUCGAAGAGUAGGGCGGGACACGUGGUAUCCUGUCUGAAUAUGGGGGGACCAUCCUCCAAGGCUAAAUACUCCUGACUGACCGAUAGUGAACCAGUACCGUGAGGGAAAGGCGAAAAGAACCCCGGCGAGGGGAGUGAAAAAGAACCUGAAACCGUGUACGUACAAGCAGUGGGAGCACCUUCGGGUGUGACUGCGUACCUUUUGUAUAAUGGGUCAGCGACUUAUAUUCUGUAGCAAGGUUAACCGUAUAGGGGAGCCGCAGGGAAACCGAGUCUUAACUGGGCGUUAAGUUGCAGGGUAUAGACCCGAAACCCGGUGAUCUAGCCAUGGGCAGGUUGAAGGUUGGGUAACACUAACUGGAGGACCGAACCGACUAAUGUUGAAAAAUUAGCGGAUGACUUGUGGCUGGGGGUGAAAGGCCAAUCAAACCGGGAGAUAGCUGGUUCUCCCCGAAAGCUAUUUAGGUAGCGCCUCGUGAACUCAUCUUCGGGGGUAGAGCACUGUUUCGGCUAGGGGGUCAUCCCGACUUACCAACCCGAUGCAAACUACGAAUACCGAAGAAUGUUAUCACGGGAGACACACGGCGGGUGCUAACGUCCGUCGUGAAGAGGGAAACAACCCAGACCGCCAGCUAAGGUCCCAAAGUCAUGGUUAAGUGGGAAACGAUGUGGGAAGGCACAGACAGCCAGGAUGUUGGCUUAGAAGCAGCCAUCAUUUAAAGAAAGCGUAAUAGCUCACUGGUCGAGUCGGCCUGCGCGGAAGAUGUAACGGGGCUAAACCAUGCACCGAAGCUGCGGCAGCGACACUAUGUGUUGUUGGGUAGGGGAGCGUUCUGUAAGCCUGCGAAGGUGACCUGUGAGGGUUGCUGGAGGUAUCAGAAGUGCGAAUGCUGACAUAAGUAACGAUAAAGCGGGUGAAAAGCCCGCUCGCCGGAAGACCAAGGGUUCCUGUCCAACGUUAAUCGGGGCAGGGUGAGUCGACCCCUAAGGCGAGGCCGAAAGGCGUAGUCGAUGGGAAACAGGUUAAUAUUCCUGUACUUGGUGUUACUGCGAAGGGGGGACGGAGAAGGCUAUGUUAGCCGGGCGACGGUUGUCCCGGUUUAAGCAUGUAGGCUGAUUGUCCAGGCAAAUCCGGAUAAUCAAGGCUGAGGUGUGAUGACGAGGCACUACGGUGCUGAAGUAACAAAUGCCCUGCUUCCAGGAAAAGCCUCUAAGCAUCAGGUAACAUUAAAUCGUACCCCAAACCGACACAGGUGGUCAGGUAGAGAAUACCAAGGCGCUUGAGAGAACUCGGGUGAAGGAACUAGGCAAAAUGGUGCCGUAACUUCGGGAGAAGGCACGCUGGUGUGUAGGUGAAGUCCCUGCGGAUGGAGCUGAGACCAGUCGAAGAUACCAGCUGGCUGCAACUGUUUAUUAAAAACACAGCACUGUGCAAACACGAAAGUGGACGUAUACGGUGUGACGCCUGCCCGGUGCCGGAAGGUUAAUUGAUGGGGUUAUCCGUAAGGAGAAGCUCUUGAUCGAAGCCCCGGUAAACGGCGGCCGUAACUAUAACGGUCCUAAGGUAGCGAAAUUCCUUGUCGGGUAAGUUCCGACCUGCACGAAUGGCGUAAUGAUGGCCAGGCUGUCUCCACCCGAGACUCAGUGAAAUUGAACUCGCUGUGAAGAUGCAGUGUACCCGCGGCAAGACGGAAAGACCCCGUGAACCUUUACUAUAGCUUGACACUGAACAUUGAGCCUUGAUGUGUAGGAUAGGUGGGAGGCUUUGAAGCGUGGACGCCAGUCUGCGUGGAGCCAACCUUGAAAUACCACCCUUUAAUGUUUGAUGUUCUAACGUUGGCCCCUGACCGGGGUUGCGGACAGUGUCUGGUGGGUAGUUUGACUGGGGCGGUCUCCUCCCAAAGCGUAACGGAGGAGCACGAAGGUUAGCUAAUCCUGGUCGGACAUCAGGAGGUUAGUGCAAUGGCAUAAGCUAGCUUGACUGCGAGCGUGACGGCGCGAGCAGGUGCGAAAGCAGGUCAUAGUGAUCCGGUGGUUCUGAAUGGAAGGGCCAUCGCUCAACGGAUAAAAGGUACUCCGGGGAUAACAGGCUGAUACCGCCCAAGAGUUCAUAUCGACGGCGGUGUUUGGCACCUCGAUGUCGGCUCAUCACAUCCUGGGGCUGAAGUAGGUCCCAAGGGUAUGGCUGUUCGCCAUUUAAAGUGGUACGCGAGCUGGGUUUAGAACGUCGUGAGACAGUUCGGUCCCUAUCUGCCGUGGGCGCUGGAGAAUUGAGGGGGGCUGCUCCUAGUACGAGAGGACCGGAGUGGACGCAUCACUGGUGUUCGGGUUGUCAUGCCAAUGGCACUGCCCGGUAGCUAAAUGCGGAAGAGAUAAGUGCUGAAAGCAUCUAAGCACGAAACUUGCCCCGAGAUGAGUUCUCCCUGAGACUAUAAGUCUCCUGAAGGAACGUUAAAGACGAUGACGUUGAUAGGCCGGGUGUGUAAGCGCAGCGAUGCGUUGAGCUAACCGGUACUAAUGAACCGUGAGGCUUAACCUU